rnacentral:rRNA from 1 species
UACGAAGGGGGCGAGCGUUGUUCGGAAUUACUGGGCGUAAAGGGCGCGCAGGCGGCUCUGAAAGUCAGAUGUGAAAGCCCAGAGCUCAACUCUGGAACUGCCUUUGAGACUGAAGAGCUUGAGUACGGGAGAGGUGAGUGGAAUUCCCAGUGUAGAGGUGAAAUUCGUAGAUAUUGGGAAGAACACCGGUGGCGAAGGCGGCUCACUGGCCCGUUACUGACGCUCAGGCGCGACAGCGUGGGGAUCAAACAGG